CCAUCUUCCUACAGGCGGAUCGCUAGUCUCGUAUCUUCUACAGCUCAAUCCACAACAGAUGUCCCUAAUGGUGAUGGGACAUCUCACAACUAAAUUUCCUUGUAAUACUUUUUACCUAGUAGUUAAGUGAAUAUAAAUAGCUAGUAAGUUCUUUGCACUUAAGCCUUUCUGGAAUGAUAAUAACAUCGUCUUAAUCGCAUCCAAUUGCGUUUCAUUAUUACUAAAUUUCUUUUCUAAUCCACUACAUUGAAUAUUGUUAAAUUUCAUAUAGUACAACCAUCUGUCACGGUUGUCAAGAAUCAAGAUUUUGAUGCUUAGGUAGACGGUGUGUGGUUUUACUCAAGUCAUGUAAUGUCAACUUUCCUGCCUAGUCAUAUGUUGCUUCUCAAUGGUUAUGGUUAUCAAAACGCCAAAAG
rnacentral:misc_RNA from 1 species